UCGGUUUAUGACAUGCAUGAUUGCUUUUGAAAUUCAAUGUCUGCAUAAGCCAGCAGAUGCUCCCCGAACGGCGCCUGGAAAAUAAAGCGUGGCUGACGCAUCGCACACUGUGGCCAUGUGAUACAUCCCACCAUGUGGCCAUUAUGCCCGCUAAGGUAAGUCAUAUUGUGCCCUGCAUGACCGGUGCAAAAAAGGGUAGAGAGGAGUUAAGCAGGGCUGGGAGCUGGAGCCCCCUGAGCCCGCCUGCCUAAGGCUGCGGCUAAAUUUAACCCCCUCCAAAGCAUCCCGGCACAUCACGCUGGGAUUCUAUUACUCUCCAGCGUCCGAGCAUAGAGAGGGAGUCAUGUGAAAGCCGGCCACAAGCCUCUGCGGCCGGCUGUGCCCUUCCUGUCCCUUCAGCAUUUAGUGCGCUUAAUGCAAUCCCUCUCCACCCACCUGCCCAGUCACUCUUUAUCUGCCACAUCCCUCACUCAUUCUCAGCCCUUCUAUGGCCUGACUCUUCCCUCGCCUGCUCCCCAACUUGUUCCACUCCGACUCUGGCUCCUGUCAUCCUGAGCAGGGGUCAGCAGCGUCUGAGCGCUCAGGGAAACGUUGCCUAACGCGAUCAAUCGGGAGACGGGGGGGUUGAAAGAUGCCUCCUGUUACGGGUAGACAGGUGAAGGGGGGGCGGUGUUGGUGGGGGAAUGCCCCUGCUGCCGCAUCAGGUCACAUCACAUGUUUGAUAUCCCACUACGUCUCCUCCAUGACCAGAGUGCUGUCAGCAGCUUGGCAGGGGGCUGGGAUAUAUACUCCAGUGAUGGUUCACGGGGAUGAGGAUAAAGUGCUCUGCUCCUGUUUAAAAGCAAUCUGUGGCCUAACCCAGAGGCAGGCUGACGUUGCAGGGUCGAUCCGGCACGCACAUCAUCCGCUCUUCCUUGGCCAUGUAUGACAGUGUUGGUUGCAGAGCCUGAAAUAGACUGACAUACGUCAAUGGGGGCAACGGAGUCAUUUGCUAUUCCUUUUGAACAGCACGCUUACCCUGACUGAGCAAUAAGCAGGGGUAAGCAGAGAUCUCUGAAGCCAGCUUAUGCAAAUUGCAAAGAUGAUCCAGGACGACGUGAACAGAAAAGGAAACAAGAGAAAAGAAAAUAUAGAGUGAAAUUCUGUUUGAAGCAGGAAGCAACCGGAGCUUUGCAGCACGGAGCUCUGCAGACCUGACCAUAAAGCAUGCGGCAAACUCCCCUCCUACUCAUCUGAGGAGAGCAUGACAUCUUCACUCCUCAUCGGCGCUUUCCAGGGUCAUACUGACCUCUAGUGGUGUCGAGGAACACGGGGCUGAUGACAGAAGGCCACGAGUGAGAGUUUGCCUUGCAGGAGUCUUAGGAAAGCAGAUAAUCCAGGGCCAAACAGCAUCCAUCCAUCAUCUAUCCUUCCCUAAUCCUCGCAGGGCCAUGGCAGGAAGGCUGCAGCCAGGAGCUGCAUCUGGGUGAUGGUUGCUUCCAGCAGGUCUUCGUCUGUCCCAGACCCAUGAGGACCUGGA